AGCAAAAAUUUAUCCCAAGCGCGUCUAUAUGUGCGCGGUCUAGCACGCAUUUGGAGUUUCUCGGCCUGUCUAGUAAGCAGGAAGAAAGUCAUGAUUCCAGGUGAGAAAAACACAAUGGAAAAAGAUCUGGUGGAAGAGCUUAAACGCGUAUAAAAACAAAUUCAGGGUUCCUGAUAUAAAACAUAAAUCCGGAUUAUAGAAAAAAGUGCCGAGAAAAAAAUUAGAAUGAAAAUAUAGGAAACUCUUGAAAACGACUUCUUUUUUUCUCUCCAUACUAAUUUAGGAGUUGGCAAAUAUAAUAUUUUAGGUAACAAAAUAUGAGGAUCUCUUGGAAAUACUCUAAUAUCCUCUAAUCAUGCGAGGCAUGGGUGGACAUGCAGCCCCUUCCUUGCGCAUAGCUGCAUCCUUUCUUUUGUGCGGUUGUCGUCACAUCCUUCUUUUUUCUUUUUUUUUGUUUCCAUGGCUAAACUAAAAUGACAACUAUUAUUCUCAUGUCAUGAUAUGUAUAAACCUACCAUAUUAUAUGAUUACAACUGUACACCAAUAAUAAUAGGUACCAGAAAUAAAUUUUUAACAGGUUCAUCAUGUAUAAAGCUUGAUGAUAUUUUAUGUUAAAAUUAAAAAUCAGACAUAUUGCAUACAUAAUUGAGAGGAUCACCUAAUAAGACAACAGGUAGCUAUCGAAAGUUUCAUAUAUGACAUAGGGUUUCAUAUAUACGUGCAUAUAUGUUGGGCAUAUAUACACACACGUUAUGUUAUAAAAUUUCAUAUAUGACAUAGGGUUCAU
rnacentral:lncRNA from 1 species